UCAUUUUGAAAACUUGUCCGUCAACAAAGCAACACAUGAAAACACCCAAUUUUCCCUGGCGGUCUUUUCAACUGAAAACGUAUAGUACAAUUUAUAAAGCGCGCGCGCGCAAUGCAUUAGCAACCUAAAGAAACGAGCCUAUUCUCCACUUUGGAGCGAGAACUACGUUUCUUAUCAUUAAGCUCCUAAUCCAAGAUAUUUUAGGCAGAAAAUUGUUUCUUUUUUGUUGUUUUUUUCUGCAACGAGUAUUCUUGGACUAUUGUUGCUUAUAUUCAAAGUGGCUUCGCGGUUUUCUUUUUCAGUUUAUUUUUCUCUUCGCAAUAUUUCUUUUUUUCCACUUUGAAUUGGUUCUGUAAGUAUUUUUCAGCAGGAAAACAGAUUCCAUUUUCCUGUUGUUUUAAAUACUUCACAGAAAGUUACUGGCGCAAAAGUAUGACGAUAAUGAAUCAUAGUAUACAUGCCUUAUAGUAUACAUGCAAAGAGAAGCAAAAACGCCCUAUUUCUAUCUGCCUAACCUUCCUAACUAGUGCGCGCGCGCAUAUAACCUUUCAAAAACCUGCAAGGGAAACCCCCGAAUGUGGAGUCUCGGUCAUGCCCCUAGCUUAACUUAACCUAGUGUGCCGGUUGCACCUGAUGAGCUUCCACAAACAGGGGUAAGGUUAGCAUGCCUUAUGUUAAUUUCUUCUAUCGUCGAGCCGCCAUAACAGAGAGGGAACCUAAUCUCUGGUAGCGAACUGUUUUCAUAUAACUCGGAGCAGAAAACUAACGUUCGAAACCAGCGAUAUACAUGCACUACGGGCAACGAAAUCCGCAAAUUUAUUAUCUUUAGUAAAGCCUAGACUAUUUAUCUUUACAACAAUUAUGUUACAGUCCUAAGCUAAUAUCCACCAGUAGUAUCUCUUCCAAACAAUCCACCACGAUAUCCACCAAUCUUCUUACGGGUACCAUUUGCACCCUCUAAGCUAUGGAUACCAUUUGCACCCAGUUUAGUUAUCCUACCGAAGGAAAACUAUGCCACCUUUUCAAUAAAAUUUUGGC